UCGGUCUGGGGAACGGCUUCUGUGUGGCUGGACCCGCCCAGCAGUGGGUGCAGCCUGGUACCAGACAGCCCCACCCUGACCUAGAGCAAAUGCUCGGGGCGCUCCCCUGGGCUUGAAACUUGCAGUAACAGGUGUGAACAUUCUAGUAGUAGUUUGAUGAUCAUGUAUGCUACUGCAAACAGGA
ensembl:snoRNA